UACGAAAGGUGCAAGCGUUGUUCGGAUUUAUUGGGCGUAAAGCGCACACAGGCUGGUUUGUAUGUCGAUUGUGAAAUACCUGGGCUCAACCUGGGAAUUGCAGUCGAAACUGCAGAUCUUGAAUAUUUGCGAGGGUGGGAGAAUUCCUGGUGGAGAAGUGAAAUUCGUAGAGAUCAGGAGGAAUACCGGAGGCGAAGGCGCCUACCUAGCACUAUAUUGACGCUCAAGUGCGAAAGCGUGGGGAGCAAACAGG
rnacentral:rRNA from 1 species